ACAACUUGGCAGAAAUUCUGGGGUAGUUAAUCUCAUCAAAUACCGCGUGGAUUUUUGAUAGGCUAUACAUUGACUAAGCUGUCGGCACCAUCUCAAAUCGAUUUUUCAACAGUUGAAGUCGAUCAGAUUUCGUAAUCGAUUUAUUCAGCAAUUGAAGUUAUUAUGGAUACAAGUUGGAUGAGUGAGCCUAGAUCAAGCACAGCAUUUUUGAAGGGACUAGGUGAAUUUCUUGAUGUUGAAUGUAAGAAAAAUGCAAAUGGUGCUGGAGAGAUAAAAUGUCCGUGUGUCAAGUGUACCAAUAACUUAUCGGUGACACGAGAUAAAGCAACCCAACACAUAAUCUGCAAUGGAAUUAUGAAGGGAUACAACGCCGACCAUCUUCAGAUUGGUAAAGAAGUAGCACAAGUGGGAAUAUGGGGAACAAAAUCAAAAGGAUCUCCACAUAAUCAUUGGUCUUUUCGACUCGAGAAUAAUCAUAAGCUCAAGAAGAUAACCAUAGAUCACGGUGAUCUAAUAUUUUCCCUUAUGUUUACUACUGAAGAUGAUAGGGGAACUUUUAAUGAUUCCAAAAAAUUUGGUGGUUGGAAUGGUGGAAAUGAAGAAUCUGAGGUUACACUUGAUUUUGAUGAGGAGAUAAUUGGUAUAAAUGGAACAGUCGGGGUAUCAACCGGGACAUAUGCUGGUUACACAAUAAUAUCAUCGUUGUCUUUCAUAACGAACAAAACGACUCACGGGCCUUUUGGCCAAACAAUUGGGACUCCUUUUGAUGUACCAUGGAACAAAGGUUCAUUUGGUGGAUUUUAUGGUCUUGCUGGUUAUUAUAUUGAUGGCAUCGGUGUUUAUUUGAAGGCUUCUCAAGAAACCGCACGGGUUGGAUUAUGGGGAACAGAGUUUCACACGGGCCCACAAUAUAGAUGGUCAUUUUGUCUCGAGGAAAAUUUUAAGUUGACGAAGAUAACUAUAGAUCAUGGAGAUAUGAUAUCAUCCCUUACGUUUACUAGUGAAGAUUGUAUGGGUUCUGCGCAUGUUUCCAACAAGGCUGGUGGUUAUAAGGAUGGAACAGCAGUAUCCGAGGUUAGCCUUGCUUGGGAUGAGGAAAUUAUUGGAAUGAAUGGUACAUUUGGGGUCUCAUCGGGUACAUGUGGUGGGAAGACAAUUUCAUCUUUGUGUUUUAUAACAAACAAAAGAAGCCAUGGACCUUUUGGUCGUGUAACAAGGACUAGUUUCUCUGUGCCAUGGAGCAAAGGUUCGUUUGCUGGAUUUUAUGGCACUGCCAGCUAUUAUAUAGAUAGUAUCGGUGUCUAUUUACGGGCUACUGCUUAACAAACCGGGUUUUCAAUCAGAACUGGUCAGAUUCAAGACAAAUCACAGUUUGUUUGUUUGGAGAAUUUAAUAACUAAAUUCAAUAACAGUUGUUGGGUUUGGGCUGGAUGAUGGAGGCUGGAUGAUGGAGACUUGCACAAACGGUAGUCAUGGUUGGGUCGGAAGCAAUCAAGAAUUUACCACAUUUUUUAUUUUAUUAUUUAUACAUUUAACACAGUAAAAUUCGUCACAGAUUUAUAA